rnacentral:tRNA from 2 species
AUUAGGGUGGCAGAAAUAUGCAUCAAAUUUAAGCUUUGAAGAUGGGAGUAAGUGCCCCUCUAAUA